rnacentral:rRNA from 1 species
CCUACGGGGGGCAGCAGUGAGGAAUAUUGGUCAAUGGACGCAAGUCUGAACCAGCCAUGCCGCGUGCAGGAAGACGGCUCUAUGAGUUGUAAACUGCUUUUGUACGAGGGUAAACGCACAUACGCGUAUCUGUCUGAAAGUAUCGUACGAAUAAGGAUCGGCUAACUCCGUGCCAGCAGCCGCGGUAAUACGGAGGAUUCAAGCGUUAUCCGGAUUUAUUGGGUUUAAAGGGUGCGUAGGCGGGGUGAUAAGUUAGAGGUGAAAUCCCGGGGCUCAACUUCGGAAUUGCCUCUGAUACUGAUGAGCUAGAGUGUAGGAGAGGUAGGCGGAAUGUAUGGUGUAGCGGUGAAAUGCUUAGAGAUCACACAGAACACCGAUUGCGAAGGCAGCUUACCAGGCUACUUCUGACGUUGAGGCACGAAAGCGUGGGGAGCAAACAGGAUUAGAUACCCGGGUAGUC